rnacentral:snoRNA from 1 species
UGCCUCUCAGGGCCGCACCUAGAGAGUUUCCAGUACUCUACCAGCCUCAGCUACGGGAGGGAGAGUCAGGCAGAGGCCUAUCCAUUCCAUUCCUAGCUUGGCCAGUGGUUAGCCAGUGGAAGGCAAUCUGCUAUAAGU